GGCGGCGUAGCCAAGCGGUAAGGCAAUGGUUUGCAAAACCAUCACCUCCGGUUCGAUUCCGGACGCCGCCUCCA
rnacentral:tRNA from 1 species